CUUGCAAUAUUUGUUCUAGAGUUUGCAUUUGUUUUUCAAUUCCUUGUGAUGGCCCUAUCUGGCUCUGCACCACCAUCACUUGUUUCUUCCUCGCCAGCUUUAAUUCAGCUAGGGCUGGAUCCUCUGAAUCGACGAGCUCUGAUACCAUGUUGUCAGGCCUUCUGGACAUAAGACCUAACUCACAAUCUCAGAGAAGGUUUUAAUUAGAGGGAACGAGAACAGAAUAUUGAAGAGAAGAGGAAGAGAGAAGAAUAACAGAGAAGAUUCAAGAAAGAGAGAAAAAGGGGGAGAGAAAAUAGAGAAAAUAUUAGGGAGAAA
rnacentral:misc_RNA from 1 species